UACGGAGGGGGGCUAGCGUUGUUCGGAAUUACUGGGCGUAAAGCGCACGUAGGCGGCUUUGCAAGUUAGAGGUGAAAGCCCGGGGCUCAACCCCGGAAUUGCCUUUAAAACUGCAUCGCUAGAAUUGUGGAGAGGUAAGUGGAAUUCCGAGUGUAGAGGUGAAAUUCGUAGAUAUUCGGAAGAACACCAGUGGCGAAGGCGACUUACUGGACACAUAUUGACGCUGAGGUGCGAAAGCGUGGGGAGCAAACAGG
rnacentral:rRNA from 1 species